GCCAUCUCAACGGGGUGCGGCCGUGAUGAAACAGUUUUGCUGAGAACAAACCCGUCGAACCUGAACCUGCUAGUACCGUCGUAGGGAUUUGGGAUGCUAAUCAUU
rnacentral:ncRNA from 1 species